CCCAAUUUCAUGCAACCCUUUACAUAAACAACUAACCUACCUUGUUGGUCCCCAAUUACAAUAUUUUAUCAAAAAAAGAUUUAUACACCUGAGAUAACAACCUAGUAUUUUUUUUUGUUGUUGUAAGAAAAGACAUUAUGGCAUGUAAUAUUAAUGUUGAAUCUAUUCUUGGACAAGGAAUUUUUGCUACUACAUCAAGCAAAAAAUUACAAGCCUUCCCAUCUCAUACUUAUAAAGCUAAUGUUAUUUCUUGUGUAGCUAUUGGCCCAACUGCAAUUCCACAAUUACCAUGGAAGUUAGUUUUCCAUGAAAAAGAGAGACAAUCAUUAUUAAGCAAUGAAAAAUUUGGGAUUUAUGGUGGAAAGUUUGUCCCUGAGACACUAAUAUCUCCUUUACAAAGCUUGAUUAUGAAUUCAACUCCGCUUUGCACGAUCCUCAAUUUCAGAUGGAUCUUCAAGUAGCAUUAAAGGACUAUGUAGGACGUGAAACUCCUUUAUACUUUGCCCAAAGACUCACAGAUUAUUACAAGAGUCUUAAUAAAGGGAUAGGACCUGAUAUAUAUCUAAAAAGAGAAUAUUUAAACCAUGGUGGUGCACACAAAAUCAACAACGCUAUUGCACAAGCUAUGUUGGCUAAGCGUAUGGGUUGCAAAAACGUCGUGGCGUCCACCGGUGCUGGACAGCACGGUGUCGGCACGGCGGCUGCUUGUGCCAAACUCUCAUUGGAGUGCACAAUAUUCAUGGGAAGUUUAGAUAUGGAGAGACAACCUUCUAAUGUACUCUUGAUGAACCAUCUUGGUGCAAAGGUGAAAUGUGUUGAAGGAAGUUUCAAAGAUGCAAUGUCAGAAGGUAUUAGAAAUUGGGUUAACGAUUUGGAGACAAGUUAUUUCUUAGCGGGUGCAGCCAUAGGACCUCACCCAUGUCCAACCAUGGUUCGUGAAUUCCAAUCAAUUAUUGGAAAAGAGACUAGAAAACAAGCCAUGGAUAAAUGGGGUGGCAAACCACAUGUGUUGGUGGCUUGUGUUGGGAGUGGCUCCAAUGCGUUGGGUUUGUUUCAUGAAUUUAUACAAGAUGUAGAUGUGAGACUAAUCGGAGUCGAGGCCGGCGGGAUCGGUCUUGAUUCAGGUAAACACUCAGCAACUAUGGCUAGGGGUGAAGUUGGAGUGUACCAUGGUGCCAUGAGCUAUUUAUUACAAGACGAGGAAGGCCAACUAAUUGAACCACAUUCCAUAGGUGUGGGAUUAGAAUAUCCAGGUGUUAGUCCAGAGCUUAGCUAUUUGAAAGAUAUCGGACGUGCAGAGUUUUCCACCGUAACAGAUGAAGAAGCUAUAAAAGCAUAUAAACGAUUGUGCAUACUAGAAGGGAUAUUUCCAGCCUUAGAAUCUUGUCAUGCUCUUGCAUUUCUAGACAAACUUUGUUCUACUUUAAAGGAUGGUGAAAAAGUGAUUGUUAAUUUAAGUGGUCGUGGAGAUAAGGAUGCUGAGGCGGUCUUUAAUCAUACACCAAAACAUAAAUGAAAAAAAAAUUAGAUUAUUUUUUUUAGGUUAGAAUUUAUAAGUAAAAUAACUUAUUUCCUUUUAUGUUAUUCUCUUUAGUUCUCUCUCUCUAUAUAAUAGUGAUGUGAUGUAGUCUUCUAAGUUGAUUGAAUGCAAAUUAUUUGGAUAUAUAUAGACAAGCAAUAUGUGUUCUUAUAUAAUUGCUUAAAGAUGAUAAAUUGAUACAAUUAAUAUAAAUGCCAAGUAAAUUUGGA